rnacentral:rRNA from 1 species
CACGUAGUUAGCCGGGGCUUCUUGGUCAGGUACUGUCAUUUUCUUCCCUGCUGAUAGAGCUUUACAUACCGAAAUACUUCUUCACUCACGCGGCGUCGCUGCAUCAGGGUUUCCCCCAUUGUGCAAUAUCCCCCACUGCUGUCUCCCGUAGGAGUUUGGGCCGUGUCUCAGUCCCAAUGUGGCCGUCCGCCCUCUCAGGCCGGCUACUGAUCGUCGCUUUGGUAGGCCGUUACCCUGCCAACUGGCUAAUCAGACGCGGGUCCAUCAUAUACCACCGGAGUUUUUCACACCGGGGCAUGCGCCCCUGUGCGCUUAUGCGGUAUUAGCACCUAUUUCUAAGUGUUAUCCCCCUGUAUAUGGCAGGUUACCCACGCGUUACUCACCGUCCGCCACUGGGCGUAGAAAGUUGAAGUC